UCAAAAAAAUCUGCCAAACCAGCCGAUCGCUCCCACACGUUUUGUUGAAAAGAAAAAAAACACGUCCCACGCCCCAUAUUCCUCACCCGUUCGCUCCUGAUCCUCUAUCCCGAAAAUAAUUCGCCACCGCCUAUGCUCGCCGCCUUGCCCCCAAGCAUCACCUUGCCGGCCUAGAUCUCGACCCGCCGCCGGUCCCCACCAAGUAGAAGCACCCAGAGGCCAUCCGCCCCAACCGCCAACAUAUGCCGCAACCCGACGUCGCCCAACCGGAGUGCCGUCGCACCAGCUCGCCAUAGCACCAAGCGCAUCCCCUACCGCAGAUGUCAGGGCUAGCCGCCACCCCUGCCAAUCGCGUAUGGGCAGGUGCGGGCUAACGCCCCCUCCCGGACUCGACCUUCCCCGUGCCCUUGCUUCCAGUCCCCAAAUCCAGGAGAGAUAGCGGGGGCACGGCCCAAGAUCGACAGGUUACCAGCAGAAGCUGCCCACGCCAGGAAGAAACUGCAAGAAGUGCACUUGCUGCUGUUGCGUUGGACUAGCUGGUGUUGCGUUGGAAGGAAGACGAAUGUGAGCAGGAAGAUGAGGUAGACAUUCUACGUGAUGGUAGCGAAUCAGAAGCUCGCUGUAUCCGGCAAGAACAGCUUCAACAUCUCACAUCAUCAAUAGGCUGAAUGCAGAGACCAAGAGGGCACAUAAUUGGAGCUACAGAAAGCUCUGGCAGCGUAUUUUUCCUAACAUUAACUAGGGACUGGAUGCAUAGAGGGUUGAAGCCUGUAGAUGAAGCAUGUGUGCUGCUUAGUCCAGCUGCACAUGGCGAAGGUGUUCCUUGAUUGGUAAGUAAGUUAACUUACCACCAACGAUGGUAGUGUUUACUAGGUUGUGUUAACCUAACACAGAAGAUGGAGCUUUUACUGUUUGUGAAAUAUUUGAAUGCCAAUUUGAAUGAAGACCAUUUACAAAGUUUAUAUGUCUUUUAUUCUUCUAAUAUAAAACUUCGUUUAAUGGAUUAUGAUGUCCUUGUUCAAUUACUUAAUUUACAUUAACACUGGACCUGCAAGGAAGUACUUCUCUAAUAAAUGAAGUAUACUUGUGGAUGAUUCUUGGAUUUCUAAUUAGGUAGGGUUGAGAUUUCUAAUUAGGUAGCGAUGACAACAAACCCAGCCCUUUCUCCCUCCCCGUUGAUUCUAUUUUAUCAUUUCUCAACAUUUCAAAUGAAAAAAAUGCUAUGCAAACAGUGCCUUCUUUCUAUAUAUUGUUGGAAUCCACAGUGGCGGAGACAGGGGGGAGGGGGCGAGUAGGGGCCUGCCCCCCUCCCUAUCAAUCGACGAGACACUAAGUACGACAUGUUGAUUAGCGAUAUGAUUCACAUAAACAAGUACUUGGCCCCCCUAUCUUAAUGUGAAUUCUGAAAGAAGGAAAUAGGCCCAUGUAAAAUCCCAUUAGUGUGUUGUUUUCAAGUCCUUGGGAAUGCUAGAUUGGCCUCGCUAAGGGAUGGGCAUUCUCUUCAUGAUUAGCGUGUGUGUGCGGAUUAGUGCUACGCCUGCUCACCGCCCCAUACUCCUGAUACACCUCUACCCGCCUGCUCGGUCUUAGUUCGAGAGUGCCUCCCGAAGGGCUGUCCGUGUUUCGAGGGUCCUCCCGAAGGGCUGCCCGAGUGACCGUCCGAGUUUCGAAGGUCCUCUUAAAGGGCUGUCCGCGACACCGUCCGGGGGACUGUACGACUGCCUCUCGGAGGGCUGUCCAUGAAGCAGAUGAGGGUAUACAUCCUCGCGGUUGGGAGGUUGUAAAUCCUAGUUGCGGGGGUCUGCACCGCCGAUCGUCAUCGACUCUACUUCUGCUGUGCUACGAGUCGAUAACGAAAA